rnacentral:lncRNA from 1 species
UUACCUUUGGCAGGUCCUGUGGGUCAGGAAUUUAGGGGUGCAGCGUGGGCCCACAGCAUACCCAGUAGCCAAGGAAGACCCUCCCCUACCCGAGGCUCAAGCAGGCGCCAGGCCCCAAACCCUCACUCCUCUCUGGUCUAAAUCCCCGCCGUAGGAUUUUAUUUUUCGGUGCUGAGGUGCUUUGCUGGAGGAGCUGCCAGGGGGAGCUGCGCGGGGCAGGCCCGGGGUACCAGAGGCCCUUGCUUUAGCGGCGGCCCUGCGUGUGCCAGAGGCUUGCAGAGUGAUCUGAGCACGCCAAGAGAUUGCUGUCAAUGAAAGCACCAGAUUUCCGCGUAGGAGGGACUCGGGGGCAACGAUGCAAUUGGAAGCAUUCAGGAAGCCCUGGGGCCAAAGCAAACAGCAUGCUUGAGGCAAGGUGCUGUGAGGCCCAAAUGAGCUGAAGCUUGCACAAAACUGCUCACCACUGCCAUAGCUGAAUCAGCGGAGGCCAGGAGGAUGCGAGGCGGUGCCCGUGAUUGUCUGAUCAUCUCCCUCUUGGACCGCUGAGACUCAGGCAUGCCCUGCAUCAAAUCCAACCUGUCACCAGGUCUUCAAGGGGGAGGCCUGCGGAAAUCCUACUGUGAAUGAAACUACAGUUGCUAUUCAUCGUCUCCCUCCUGCACCUACCACUCCAGAUGUCCCUCACUCUUGGCCAGCACUUUGGCUUGUUUAAGUUGUGUGCCAGGUGAGGUGACCACACCUUCCCCCCUGCAGUUUCUGAGUCUUUCCUGAGCUUUGUCUUGGUUGGCCCUUGGCUGCUGUGACUGCCUAUUUUAUCUAAUUGCAGGUUCAAGAUUCACCAAGAAGGCAGGGCGCAGUGGCUCACAUCUGUAAUCCCAGCACUUUGGGAGGCUGAAGCAGGCAGAUCACUUCAGCCCAGGAGUUUGAGACCAGCCUGGGCAACAGAGCAAGACCCCAUCUCUAAAGAAAAAUAAUUAUUCAGGUGUGGUGGCACAUGCCUGUAGUCCCAGCUACUCAGGAGGCGGAGGUGGGAGGAUCGCUUGAGCCCAGGAGGUUGAGGCUGCAGUGAGCCGUGAUUGCACCAUUGCACUCUAGCUGGGCAACAGAGCAAAACCCUGUCUCCAAAAAUAAUAAGUAAAUAAAUAAAUAAGAUACUAAGAGACAGCCCAGUGACUCUCCUGAGUCCCAAACAUACUCAUCCAUCCCUCAUGGAGAAACAACUCUAUCUCCUUGCAAUAAUCAGAACUAGUUUCUCCUGCCAGUUUAAUCAGUACUUUUUUUAUUGCAGUAAAAUACACACAACAUAAAAUGUGCCACUUUAACCAUUUUAUUAUUAUUAUUAUUAUUAUUAUUAUUAUUAAGACGGAGUUUCACUCUUGUUGCCCAUGCUGGAGUGCAGGGGCGCGAUCUUGGCUCACUGCAACUUCCACUUUCUGGGUUCAAGCGAUUCUCUUGCCUCAGCCUCCGGAGUAGCUGAGAUUACAGGCACACGCAGCCAUGCCCAGCUAAUUUUUGUAUUUUUAGUAGAGACGGGGUUUCACCAUAUUGGUCAGGCUGGUCUCAAACUCCUGACCUCAGGUGAUCCACCCACCCCUUGGCCUCCCAAAGUGCUGGGAUUACAGGCGUGAACCACCAUGCCCAGCCCAUUUUAACCAUUUUUAAAUGUUCAUUCAGUGGCCUGAGUUAUAUGAACAUUGCUGGACAACCAUUGCUACUAUGUAUUUCCAAAACUUUUUAAUUGCCUUAAACAGAAGCCUUGUAACCAUUAAGCAACACCUCCCCAUCCCCUCUCCCCUCAGCCCCUAGUAAUCACUAGCCUACUUUCUCUGCUACUUUGUCUCUUGUAGAUGUUUCAAACAAGUAGAAUGAUAUGAUACUUGUCCUUUUGAAACUGACUUAUUUUACAUAGUAUAGUGUUUUCAAGGUCCAUCCAUGUGGUGCAUGUAUUAAAGCUUCAUGCACUUUUAUGGCUGAAUAAUGUUCCAUUGUAUGUACAAGGCGUGCCACAUUUUGUUAUUCAUUCACCUGUUAAUGGCAACUUGGCUUGUUUCCACUUUUGGGCCCUUGUGGAUAAUGCUGCAGUGAACAUCAGCAUGGAUGUCUCUGAGUCCUGCUUUCAGUUCUUCAGGGUAUAUGCCUAGCAGUGGAGUAGCUGAUUCUAUGUUAAUUCUAUGUUUAAUUUUUUGAGAAACUGCCAUAUUGUUCUCCAGGCUGGCUGCACCAUUCCACAUUCCCACUAACCGUGCACAAAGAUUCCAAUUUCUUACCAACACACUCUCAUCAAUACAUGUUAUUUUUAGUUUAUCGUGUUUUCAUUUUUCUUUUAUUAAUAUAUAGCAGGCAUUCUAAUGGGUGUGGGGUGGUAUCUCAUUUUGGUUUUGAUCUGCAUUUUCCUAGUGUUUAGCGAUGUUGAGUAUACUUUCCUGUGGUCAUUUGUAUAUUUUCUUUGGAUGUGUAUCUGUUCAAAUCCUUUACUCAUUUUUAAUUGAGUUGUCUUUUUGUUAUUGAGUUGUAGGAGUUCCUUAUAUAUUCUUGAUUUUAAAACUUUAUCAGAUAUAUGAUUUGCAGAUAUUUUCUCCCAUUGCAUCGGUUGUUUUUUCAGUUUCUUGAUAAUGUCCUUUCAUGCACAAAAGUGUUUAGUUUUGAUGAAUUCCAAUUUGUCUCUUUUUCUUUCUUUGCUCAUGUUUUUGGUGUCGUAUCUGAGAAUCCAUUACCAAAUCCAAGGUCGUGAAGAUUUACCUAUAUGUUUUCUUGUAAGAGUUCUGAUGUUUGUCAUUGAUCCAUGCUGAGUUAACAUUUAUACCGUAUAAUGUAGGGGCUACCUCUUCAUUCUUUUGCAUGUAGAAACUCCGUUAUCCUAAUUGUUGCUAAUUGCCUCUGGCCCACUGACUUGAGAAGCCCAAGAGGACCAGGGAGUAUUUGUAUUUUCAAGUUCUGUAGAAUUGGUGAUGUUCCCUGGUGGAGGAGUCCACUCUCCGCUCCUCCUCCCCCAUCAAGAACUAAGACGUCGAAUUUGCUAGAGCCCCACCCAAAGCUGUGGACACAGGAAGCACACAUUUCUCAAGGUGGUCUCUGCGAGUGAUGGUGAGAGCAGCCGAUCUCACUCCCCCCGCCACCCCCUGGGUUUCCAGCCCCAUGUCUUUCUGCUUUUGGGAUCAUAGCACCAUGUGUCUGCUCUUGGUAAGGCACGUACACCACAGUUUCAAGGAUAGUAUCCCAAUUAUACAGGGUGUGGGCUCACGCUUUCACCCUGGCAUAGCCUUGGCACAGGUCAUCCUGAUGUUCUUGUAGGCCUGCUGCUUCCAGAGGAACCUUGGAGCCAUAGCUUCUUUGCUGUAAAACAGACCCCUUGGCUUGAGGCAGUGUUGUUCAAAUCCCCUGCCAAUAAAUCAGAGACGACCGUAAGUGCUCUGUUGGUGAUGCCAGUGAAGGCACUGUUGCAAGGAAGGAAAAUCCAUAUCCAGAGUCGGUGUUCACUCUGCUAGGACUCAUCGCUGUCUCAUCAAUGACAGAAGGGGUCUCAUAUAAUGAACUUUGCACUGUGACUGCCUGAUCUCCUUGUGAAAUGGUGCCAUCUUGAGGGCUCAUUAUUAGUCCAUGUGGUUGGCAGGUAGGGCAUUCAGUAGCGGCAGCAGCCAGGUCAUCUCUAGCAAGAGGGAACUUGUGUUGGGCUCAUGCCUCCCUUGACUUUUGCCACCAUGGCCACACCAUUCAUGGAACUAUCUAUUUCCCCUGCCGUGGGGUGGCUGAUGCUGGCUGAUGCCCAGAGGAUGAACCAUCCUGUCCACCCAGUUGCUAGGUGCCUCCUCUGCAGGAGAGGCUUUUUGGCAGACCUUAACGUAAGUCCAAUGAUUGGCACGCUAGUGCCAUUUCCAUAGGUCAGUAGUACUGAUUUUUCCUUUUGUCUCAGACACCAAUAUGGCUCGGCACAGCAGUUACUGAUCCUGUCUCUAUUUGAAAUUUUAAUAUUUUGCUCAUCAUGGAU